rnacentral:tRNA from 1 species
CGGGCCGUGGCGCAGCCUGGCUAGCGCGCUUGCUUGGGGUGCAAGAGGUCCCGGGUUCAAAUCCCGGCGGCCUGACCA